rnacentral:rRNA from 1 species
GACGAACCGUGCGAACGUUAUUCGGAAUCACUGGGCUUAAAGCGCGUGUAGGCGGGCCGCCGCGUCGGCUGCUGAAAUCCCCCGGCUCAACCGGGGAACGGGCAUCGAUACGGGCGGCCUCGAGGGGGGUAGGGGGACCUGGAACUUCCGGUGGAGCGGUGAAAUGCGUUGAGAUCGGAACACCGGUGGCGAAGGCGGCCUGCUGGAGCCGGGCCGACGCUGAGGCGCGAGAGCGCGGGGAGCGAACGGG